rnacentral:misc_RNA from 1 species
AAAAGAGCAUAUCCAGCUGGCCCGUAACCUUCAAUAAUGCCAGAAAACUGGUUCAAGAAAGCAUUGAUCUGGUCCUUGUAUAUGUACCCAACAGUUCCAAAUCCACCAAUCACACCCACAAUCAAAAGACCAGCCAAAAUGGUACCUUUAAUAGCAUUAUCAUCAUCUCCUGACCCACUAUCCCUCUCACUCUCACUCUCUCCAUCAUCAUUUUUGGGGUUCAAGUUAACCAGUCUCCUGAAACUCUGAGGAGAUUUGUUUGGUGUUUUCAAAAGGGUCUGCUGUUUCUUGGUUUCCUUUAGGGAAGAACAUGGUUUCAAGAAAUGAAAUCUUUUAGGUUUAAAACUAUACAGAAACGAAUUAACAGCUGAUUUUGUAAGGGAAAAUUGAAUCUUGGGUCCUUGUUGAAAAGAUGGAAAAAGAGUGACACAUGAAGGUGUUCUGCUUAAAUCAAUGGUGGGCAUUUCAGAUGAAUAAAGGGGAACUGGAAAGCUACUUCCUUUUUUUCUUUUGAUUUCUCUCUUCUGUUCUAAGGUUGUGCUGAGUUAAUUCAGAGUGUUUUGAGGACUGUUAUCAAUGGUGAAAUUUGUGUUGGGUGUUCCAUCAAAGAACGGAACUUUG